ACAAACUUGGUCAUUUAGAGGAAGUAAAAGUCGUAACAAGGUUUCCGUAGGUGAACCUGCGGAAGGAUCAUUAAAAAUUUUUGAUUUUUAUGGAUCAAAAAUCCAUAAUUCACCUUGUGUGCAACCACUGAAAAUUAUGUUUACCUUUGGGGAUUAGUUUUUUUAAAAAAACUAUUUCCCAGAGGAUUAAAUUGAUUUACUAUUUUUGAUAUGUUAUAUGACUUAAAUAUAAUAAUAAAAACAACUUUCAACAACGGAUCUCUUGGCUCUCGCAUCGAUGAAGAACGCAGC
rnacentral:misc_RNA from 1 species